GCUCCACUAUCACUCUUCUUGCACAAAUACGCCUAACUCUUAACAUUCCAAGCAAACAAAGCUAGCUAGAAAACUUCUUCAAGCCACUGUUGGUGGCGACGAGGGAUCAGCCAAUAUGCCACAAAUCCUGGAGGUGAUGUUGGAUAACCCAGGCCCGAACGGUGGAGCUGUGAAGACUAUAGGAAGGAAGCUCUCUUCAAUGUGCACGAAUGCCUUGCAGCAAUUCUGCGUAAACCUUAUGUGUAAGGUGAGGAAAGAAGGAAUAAGCUGUAGCAUUUUAUGAAGUCAGGGAUGAGUUGGAAUAAAGAGGCUGUAGGCAUUGUCGUGCCGACGGUGACAAGAAAGAGGAUGGCAUAAGCUGCUGCUGCUGCUACUGAUUUGGCCAUUGUUGCUGUACUUGUAAGGAUCUUUAUUGGGAUCACUUUCGCGUUGUUUAUUGAAGAGGAGUUGAAAGGCUCCAUUUGGGGGAGAAAUUGUUACGUGCGGAGUCCUCAUGUAAAGUUACGUCCUGACUCCAAUCAAAUGACGACGGGAAUGAGCAGAUCUACCUAAAUCCCGGGAGCAACUGCCAGGGCUUCAUCGCUUACUUAAUUGCCUUUUUGUGAUUAAUCUCAGCCCAUUAUGUUUAACCAAUUGAUCAAUUCUCUACCGUUAGAUAUAGUAUAUCAUGCAUAUAAAACUUUCAGUUAUGUACUGUUGAAAGGUACACAUAGGAUAGAAUUAGAGUUCAGAUUUCAGUUUUGCCUUCUCCCAUUUCUCUGCUACGGUUUGCUGUAAUUCUUCAACUCAUGCAGUGACUUUUAGCUUGAUAAAAUUACUUCAACUCAUUGGUAACAAAGCCAUUAAAAUUA